rnacentral:rRNA from 1 species
GGAGGGAUCAUUACACAAAUGAAAAUAUGAAGGCCCUUCAAACCGGCUGGAUUAUUUUUCUUCACCCUUGUCUUUUGCGCACUUGUUGUUUCCUGGGCGGGUUCGCUCGCCACCAGGACCACACCAUAAACCUUUUUGUUAAUGCAAUCAGCGUCAGUAAAAAGUAAUAAUUAUUUUACAACUUUCAACAACGGAUCUCUUGGUUCUGGCAUCGAUGAAGAACGCAGCGAAAUGCGAUACGUAGUGUGAAUUGCAGAAUUCAGUGAAUCAUCGAAUCUUUGAACGCACAUUGCGCCCUUUGGUAUUCCAAAGGGCAUGCCUGUUCGAGCGUCAUUUGUACCCUCAAGCUUUGCUUGGUGUUGGGCGUUGUUUGUCUUUGGCCUUGCCCAAAGACUCGCCUUAAAACAAUUGGCAGCCGGCCUACUGGUUUCGCAGCGCAGCACAUUUUUGCGCUUGCAAUCAGCAAAAGAGGUUGGCCAUCCAUCAAGACUACAUUUAUACGUUUUGACCU